rnacentral:rRNA from 1 species
AGAGUUUGAUCUUGGCUCAGGAUGAACGCUGGCGGCGUGCCUAAUACAUGCAAGUCGAACGAACUUCCGUUAAUUGAUUAUGACGUGCUUGCACUGAAUGAGAUUUUAACACGAAGUGAGUGGCGGACGGGUGAGUAACACGUGGGUAACCUGCCCAGAAGCAGGGGAUAACACCUGGAAACAGAUGCUAAUACCGUAUAACAGAGAAAACCGCCUGGUUUUCUUUUAAAAGAUGGCUCUGCUAUCACUUCUGGAUGGACCCGCGGCGCAUUAGCUAGUUGGUGAGGUAACGGCUCACCAAGGCGAUGAUGCGUAGCCGACCUGAGAGGGUGAUCGGCCACAUUGGGACUGAGACACGGCCCAGACUCCUACGGGAGGCAGCAGUAGGGAAUCUUCCACAAUGGACGCAAGUCUGAUGGAGCAACGCCGCGUGAGUGAAGAAGGGUUUCGGCUCGUAAAGCUCUGUUGUUAAAGAAGAACGUGGGUGAGAGUAACUGUUCACCCAGUGACGGUAUUUAACCAGAAAGCCACGGCUAACUACGUGCCAGCAGCCGCGGUAAUACGUAGGUGGCAAGCGUUAUCCGGAUUUAUUGGGCGUAAAGCGAGCGCAGGCGGUCUUUUAAGUCUAAUGUGAAAGCCUUCGGCUCAACCGAAGAAGUGCAUUGGAAACUGGGAGACUUGAGUGCAGAAGAGGACAGUGGAACUCCAUGUGUAGCGGUGAAAUGCGUAGAUAUAUGGAAGAACACCAGUGGCGAAGGCGGCUGUCUGGUCUGUAACUGACGCUGAGGCUCGAAAGCGUGGGGAGCGAACAGGAUUAGAUACCCUGGUAGUCCACGCCGUAAACGAUGAUUACUAAGUGUUGGAGGGUUUCCGCCCUUCAGUGCUGCAGCUAACGCAUUAAGUAAUCCGCCUGGGGAGUACGACCGCAAGGUUGAAACUCAAAAGAAUUGACGGGGGCCCGCACAAGCGGUGGAGCAUGUGGUUUAAUUCGAAGCUACGCGAAGAACCUUACCAGGUCUUGACAUCUUCUGCCAACCUAAGAGAUUAGGCGUUCCCUUCGGGGACAGAAUGACAGGUGGUGCAUGGUUGUCGUCAGCUCGUGUCGUGAGAUGUUGGGUUAAGUCCCGCAACGAGCGCAACCCUUAUUACUAGUUGCCACGCAAGUUGGGCACUCUAGUGAGACUGCCGGUGACAAACCGGAGGAAGGUGGGGACGACGUCAAAUCAUCAUGCCCCUUAUGACCUGGGCUACACACGUGCUACAAUGGAUGGU